rnacentral:rRNA from 1 species
GACGAACGCUGGCGGCGUGCUUAACACAUGCAAGUCGAACGGUGGACUCCGCUUGCGGGGGGAUCAGUGGCGAACGGGUGAGUAACACGUGGGCAACCUGCCCUCAGCUCCGGGAUAACCUUACGCAACCGGGGCUAAUACCGGAUAUGACCGCUGACCGCAUGGUCUGGGGGUGGAAAGAUUUAUCGGCUGAGGAUGGGCCAGCGGCCUAUUACCUUGUUGGUGGGGUAGUGGCUUACCACGGCGACGACGGGUAGCCGUCCUGAGAGGGUGACCGGCCACACUGGGACUGCAAUACGGCCCGGAGUACUACGGGAGACAGCAGAAGGGAAGAGUGCGCAAUGAGCGAAAGCCUGACGCAGCAACGCCGCGUGGGGGAUGACAACCUUCUGGUUGUAAGCCUCUUUCAGCAGGGACGAAGCGAAAGUGACGGUACCUGCAGAAGAAGCACCGGCCAACUACGUG